rnacentral:lncRNA from 11 species
AAACGGGGGGAGUGUAUGAGUUUUGCAAGUGGUAGUUACUUAAACGGAAAUUGAGUCCCAUUUUGUGGGAAAUUAGUUUUGCAGACUUUCUGAAAAAAUCUGAAAGUUUCCUUCAGCAGCUGCUUGACUUUCCCUUCCAGUUUUAGACUGAGCUGGGGGAACCUGCAUCGCUCUAUGGCGAUUUGAAAGAAAUAACAAUGCAUCUAACAAGUAACAUAGGUUUUCUACUGGAUCAAAAGACCACCCUAUCUUCCAGAAGAGAGCCAUUUAAUUCUUCUGAAAACUAUAAUUCGUGGUUUCACCCUCAAGUAUUUUGCAAAGUGGAAAAUAAAUUGAUUGGCAUGGGUCUACAAUUGAGGUGUGGAGGCCAACAUCUUGAGGAGUUUCCAUAAUGGACUAUCACAAGGUAUCUUCUAAGCCUCCUUACGUACCACUUCUAUUGAGAAGGAGAUGUCAAUGCAGGAGAAGUCUCUUUGUUCAUAAUACAAGGGGCACCUGGUAAUAAUCAUAACCAUCAACAUAAUCAACUACUACCAGUAUCAUUACCAUCAUCACCACCUAAUAUGUUUUCCAUAUUAUAUUUAGUAAUAUCUUGUGGUGUACAAGAAAAAUACAAACAAAAACAUUAAAAAAACACAAGCAUAAACAUAAAAAAUUACAUAAAUAUUCAUGAAUGCAUCAACCGUCGAUUAAAACAAAGGCAUAAAACAUAGUUCUCAAGCUGGACACCAUAGUCAAUUUGGAAAAACUAAAACUUAUAAGGUGGAACUUUAAUAGGCAUCUAAAGCAUGCCACAGUUGAUACAUCCCGUAUUUCAAGGGAAAGGGCCUUCCAAAAUACUGUAUAGGGGCCACUCUGUAGAAAUACAUCUUCCAGGUCACCACCAGAUGGCAAUCUGAAGAUUACAGAGAAACCAGCAGGAUCUACUUCUAGCUUUUGGUAGGUCUAUGGACUGAGUAAGACAAUCCUCACAGCAGCCUGAUCACGGGUUAUUCAAAAACAAGACCUGGAACAUGGGUUGGUAGCAAACUGGUAUCCAGUGCUUGUGCUUCAGCAGCAGGUAAUAUAUAUGUGUUCAUCAAUUCUCUCAGACUCCUAAGUGUUGCAUUCUGUAUCUAAUUCUUGAUAAACUCUUCCC